rnacentral:lncRNA from 1 species
AUGCGUUCACCAUUGUGCAGCAGUGACGAGUCUCGUGAUGUGGUACACAACAUUCUCACUGGAACACAAAGUCCUGGAAAUCUUUUGGAUUGGUGGGAUUUUAUAAUCGGAAGAUCUCAUGAUGGAUUGGCCACAAGAAGGGAUCAGAUCUAUCCUCAAGGUACACCUUUGUCACUUCCAUCUCAAAGAAUAUUUCCUAUUUUUUUUCCCUUUUCAAAUCCAAACAUCAGCCAUCACACAUGA